rnacentral:tRNA from 1 species
AGCGUUGUAGCUCAAUGGAAGAGCAACCCAUCUUCAACAGAAAACGGGGAGGCCAUGAGUUCAAUUCUCAUCAACGGUA